rnacentral:rRNA from 1 species
CCUACGGGAGGCUGCAGUGGGGAAUAUUGGGCAAUGGGCGCAAGCCUGACCCAGCAACGCCGCGUGAAGGAAGAAGGCUUUCGGGUUGUAAACUUCUUUUAAGAGGGAAGAGCAGAAGACGGUACCUCUUGAAUAAGCUACGGCUAACUACGUGCCAGCAGCUGCGGUAAUACGUAGGUGGCAAGCGUUGUCCGGAUUUACUGGGUGUAACGGGCGUGCAGCCGGGAAGACAAGUCAGAUGUGAAAUCCCGCGGCUCAACCGCGGAACUGCAUUUGAAACUGUUUUUCUUGAGUACCGGAGAGGUCAGCGGAAUUCCUGGUGUAGCGGUGAAAUGCGUAGAUAUAAGGAAGAACACCAAUGGCGAAGGCAGAUGACUGGACGGCAACUGACGGUGAGGCGCGAAAGCGUGGGGAGCAAACAGGAUUAGAUACCCCGGUAGUC